ensembl:snRNA U4 U4 spliceosomal RNA
AGUUUUGUGCAUUGGCAGUAUCGUAGCCAAUGAGGUUUAUCCGAGGUGCAAUUAUUGCCAUUUUAAAAAAUUUAAAUGUUUUUAUAAAAUUAAAAAAAAUACAGGUAAACAUCACUAAGU